rnacentral:misc_RNA from 1 species
GAUUCAGUAUUCCGCCGCUCGUCACCUGCGGUCAUACUGAUUGCAACUUCCCAAAUUUCUUACAAUAAUCCAAUGAAAAUUAAAAAACAUCUUUUCGUACCUUUAAUGCAAUAAUAUGUGCAUUUUGAAGCAUGCCGAUUCAGGCUCCCUCAUGGACAGAUUUUCUGAACUGUCCCAUCUGCUGCAAUGAAUUCGCGGCCAGCCAGCGAUGUCCGGUCAGUCUGGGCUGCGGGCACACCAUCUGCAAGCUAUGCCUGACGACCCUCUACAACCGGCAGUGUCCCUUCGAUCAGACCGUGAUUGUCAGCGAUAUCGACAAUUUGCCCAUUAACCAUGCCUUGCUCCAGUUGGUCAAAGACUCGGAGCUCCUCGAGCUGGGACCACCACCGCCCAGUGUGCAGAAGCUGGAGCCGGAGCACCUUAAGUGCUACCAACUGGGUCAGCGGUGCAUCGAGGAGCUGGCUUUGCACUUGAAGUCCUUCCUCAACCUGAACGGAAAUGGCAAUCUUCUAACUCGACCCAUGCUACGAAAACUGGUUACCCUGGUCAACUGCCAGCUGAUGGAGGAGGAGGGACGGGUGAGAGCGCUCCGAGCAGCCAGAUCCCUAGGCGAACGCACAGUCACCGAGCUGAUCCUGCAGCAUCAAAAUCCCCAGCAGUUGAGCUCAAAUCUGUGGGCUGCAGUGCGAACAAGAGGAUGCCAGUUCCUUGGACCAGCCAUGCAGGAGGAGGUGCUCAAACUGGUGCUGCUGGCCUUGGAGGAGGGAUCAGCGCUAUCGCGCAAAGUGCUGGUCAUGUUCGUCGUGCAGCGACUGGAGCCGAAGUUUCCCCAGGCCUCCAAGACGAGUAUCGGACAUGUGGUACAGCUGCUCUACCGCGCCAGCUGCUUCAAGGUGUCGAAGCGGGAGGCGGACUCGUCGUUGAUGCAGCUCAAAGAGGAAUUCCGUACGUAUGACGCCUUGCGCCGCGAGCACGAUGCCCAAAUCGUUCAGAUAGCUACCGAGGCAGGUCUGCGUAUAGCACCGGAACAGUGGUCUUCCCUAUUGUAUGGCGACGUGUUGCAUAAGAGCCACAUGCAGAGCAUCAUCGAUAAGCUGCAGACGCCAAGCUCCUUUGCUCAAUCAGUCCAGGAAUUGGUCAUCGCCUUGCAGCGGACCAGUGAUCCUGCGAAGCUAUCCAGUUUGCACCAUCAUCUGAAGUACCUGGCCAACAUUGAUCCCUGUGCGGAGGUUGCCCCGUGGUCGGAUUUGGCUGAGGCCCUGGAUGCAGUGCGCCAUUCGGUCGUUGGACUGGUGAACUUUCUUCAGCACCAUGGAGUGCGCAAGGCGCAGGACGGCAUCAGUGGCGGUGGCAGUGGUGGGACGGCCAAUAGCAAUCCCAAGUACAAGAUCAGCUUAUGCAGGGACUUGAAUGUGCGGCGGGUGUGUCCCCGAGGUUCUAGCUGUACCUUUGCCCAUUCCCAGGAGGAGGUAGAACGCUAUCGUGCACGGAAUCGAGGAAAACACAUGAAGACACCGUUGGCGCUGCAGGGACCCCCAGCGGUAGGCGUAGGAGCCAUAAAGAAACCCCUAGGCGAGCAAGAGGGACCGCCUCUAGGUAACAUGCCACCCAUGUUACCUAUGUCGCCUAUGCAUUAUAUGGGCUCUCCUAGGGGAUAUCUGGAUCCCAGCUUGGGACUUUCGCCAGGUGGUGGUCUCCCACCGCAGCAGCCGCCCCUGCUUCAUCCGUCGCAUCACAGUCCCAUUACCCGGCUCAUAGUGCCCAACCGCUACGAUUCUCGUUUCAGCGGCUUUGGCGUUGGCACGCCCAGGAAUCCUUCGCCUAGAGAAUACCAAGCCAACCCGAUAGCGCCAACGCAACGCAAUGCCAACCCACCGAACUUUAGUGUGAACAGCAACGUGCACAAGGGCUACAUGUUGCCCGGCAGCGGUGGAGAUGUCUUCCAUUUGGGCAACCCGUGGGAGCAAGCAUACCUGGCACAGCAGCAACAGCAGCAGCAUCCUCCACAGCAUCCCCAACAGCAGCAGCCACCGUCCAGCAAGCCGAACCCCAGCCGACCGUUGUCGAUUUUAGCCGCAACAGCUGAUACCUCAUUUUAUGAAAAGAAACCGCCGAAUAGUGUUAGCAUAGAUCUGGACAGGGUCCCGGAGGUCGAUGUGGAUGCAGUGCCUCUGUUCCGGCGAUCCAAUAACAACCACAACAACAACAAUAGCAACUCCCACAAUAACAACAACAACAAUCAUGGCUCAUCACUGCUGUUCUGGAACAAUACGGGUAAAGAGUCAGCGAACUUUGUACGAUCAGACUCCAUAUUGGAUGACGAUGCGUCCACAUUCGAUGUGCCCACUGGCUCCUCCAUGCUGAGUAUCUACGGCCCGAUUUGCCCCAAGAGCAGCACGACCGGCAACUGGAACAACUUUGAUCUGGGAUAUGGCGGCUUUAAGAGCGACAGAAACGAUAGCUUCAAUGCCAAUAAGCAGCAACAACCGGUGUGGGGCAGGAAACCGCAACUGAUGUCGGAGGAUAGUUUCGAGGGCGGCAUCGAUAGUGGAAUGAUGCUGCAGCUGGAGAAGAACCUGGUGGACAUCGUCGAUCCCGAUGACAGUGGGAUCAAGUUGGACUAGGUACUGCAGUCAGGCCCACUCAGCCAGAGGAUAUUUCUAUAUAGGUGUUUAUAUAGAUCGAAUGGGCGGAAAAGAAUAUGUAUAAUGCAAUCAUUUUACACAUCGUUAGAGAUUCGGGGUUUGUGUCUAGCACACAUAGUGAAAAGUAUAAGAGCAAACAAAAAUAAACUCAACCUAGAUUGUAAA